rnacentral:lncRNA from 1 species
UUGUAGGCGGAGCCCUCAUGGCAUUUCCCCGAUGGGUCGGAGAAGGACAGGCGUAGAAGCAGGAUUGCAGGAAGUGCUGACGGCAAUGGUCUUGUCUUCUUUACCGCACUUGGUCAUGAACUGUUUCUUGUGUAUGACGAAGAGUACGAAGUAGCUAAGGAUUUGUACUACGAUAUGUUGUAUCUACUUCUUCCACACGUGGUUCAUACCUUCUGCAUUUUUUUAGCUUAUCCUCUCAAGUUACUUUUAUUCCAUGCAGAAAGCUGUUAGAUAAUUUGCCUAGGUGGGGAGCUUUCUGCUCUCUCUAACGUGAAAUCUCUUUGGCUCUCUGACCCUCCAGCUGCCGUCUCCCCUGAAGAUGUGCAUUUGAAGGCAAGUAAAAAUGCCUUUCCAUAGAGGCCAGAUCAUAUAUUUCCUUUGUCACUUGCCUCCUGAGACUGUCAUGUUGAGAGACAUGCCAUCUUGCAGCAAAAAGGAGGUUGGCAGCAAGCACUGGCAAACAUCUGCCUACUCUUAGUUGUAGUAUCCCUCACAGUUUCAGAUUGAAAAAUUUGAGCAUUUAUAAAAAAUGGCUUUCGCUGUGGAAAAUACAGCCUUUGAAGUUCAGCCUUUUAGCUAAAAGAGUGUUAGAACAUUGCAGGAUUGCUACCCAGAUCUGGAUCAUAAAAUCACUUUUGGAUUCUCACCAUUUUCCAGCAGCCAUUUUUCAAAUUGGUUUUCAUUUCCAAUGUUAAGAGUGAAAGGAACUGCUGGUCUCAUCUUGUCCUGAGCCCCAUCUUUGCACCCAGGCAAGUCUCCAGCCAGUCCAGUCUCAGUUGCAUAGCCAGGGAUGCUUUAUUAACUCUGCUCCCCAGCGCUGAGUCCAGCUGAUGCCUGUAUCUCCGCACCCUCUCUGCCAUCAGCAUCAAGUAGGCCUGGCAAGGGACUCCCAGAUCCUACCUGGGUGCUCACCUGAAUGGGAUCUCUUUCAGCAGAGUACAGCCUCCAUGUCAGUUUAGUCUGUCAGACCACUCAGUCACUGCAAAGCAGGAGCUAGGCACAGACUUCCUGCAGCUCAGGCAACAGGGUUCUCAGCAGGUGUCAGUGUGUGUUAUCACACUAGCCACUAACGAAAUGGUUCACUUGCUUAUGAAGAUACCAUGUAUUUCAUGAAAAAUUUUUAGUGAAUAAUUGUUAAAUACUAGAAUGAUUAAAAGAUUAAUGACCAGCAUUUGUAGUAGAUAAGAUGGGCAAAUUACUAAGAAAAUAAUUAGUAUCUUAUAAUAGGCAAUCAAUUAAAAAGUUCUGAAAUUUAAUCCAAGUGUAGAGCAUUUUUAAUGUUCUUCUGAGUGAAUGUGAAAGCAUUGUCCUUUUAGUCAUCAGACUGGCAGAGAUGGGAAAGGCCCACAAGUGCCAUGCUUGUGAAGAACUAGAAAGUGGCUUUUCCUAUGUUACUGCUUCUCAGUCUUUGUGCAAAGUGGUUGGGCAGUACAUGGUGACAACUUUAUGCACAUUUAUCUGUGUGACAGUUGUGCUUCUCACCUGACUCUAUCAUACAGGUCAUUCUUAGCUAGAAAGCUGCUGGUCUGAAUUGUCCAGUUCAGCACCAUUUAUUAGCCUGGAUUAUCUGUGGACUGUGUGGUCUGCAUUCCUUUUAUCUGAUGUGUAACUCCCUGGAAUUAUGUACUGAAAAAACAGCUUUUAAUGGCUAUAAUGUGACUCUGCAGAUGCAGCCUGACUGCAGGUAGCUGCUAUGGUAUUCUCUUGCAGGUCCUUGUAAAGGAGAGUGGGGUGGUCUCUCCUACUGUGACUGUUUCCAGCAAGGAUUGGCUGGUUGUGUCUGGAGUUUCUCCUCCUCCUCACUGUCCACCAUCUUUCUUGAGGCUCCGGUUCCCAGGGCCGCAGGCUUGAUCUUCCCCUCUUUAGAAUCUUGAGCUUGGACCGGUUCUCCACAUGGCACUCCAAAGGAUGCUUACAGAGCUGCAAGACUGGCUCCUGGUACUGCCUUCAGUUAUACUUGAUAGGCAUGUGGCCGUACAUAAUGGUUGUGUAGUGAGUCACCCCUCUUCCCCUGCCAACAUUUACAAUCUGUUUUUAUACAGUUAACAUUAACUUACCUGUUAUCUUGUGACGACUUAAGAUUCUCUCUAAUUAAUCCAAGUAGUUUGUGCAGUUACUACCAGUUUUCAGCCCAACCCUGCAGUAAUGGGCAACCCAUACCUUUACUGGUCAUCACAGACAUUAAUUAUUGAGAUGAUUUGUAAAAAUCCUCAUCUUGGUAAAUCAGCUUAGACUGUUCACAAAUGCAGCUGGCAGUAGCUGCCUCUUAGCUAUAAUUCCUUAUGCUGGCAUGAUAUCUCAAUUACCAAAUUCAGGGAAAUUAUGCCUGUGUAUCUCUUUUCUCAAUUAACUGUUUUUUUUCCCCCCAGAAUAAAUAAGAUAAAGAAAAGCAGCUAACAUUUUUAGUCUUCCAUUUUUUUUUUUUUUAAAGUACACUCUGCUAAUACGGUUUUAGGAGUUUCACAUCCUGUUUUUAAAGAAAUCUUCAUUGCUAGUUCAGUUUAUGAACAUUAGAAAUAUAGACACCAUGGCACUAUAGAUUUUGUAGAUUAUGAGGAAAUUUCCUUAGGAUUGCAGUUUCCUCCAUGAUAACUACAUCCUUCAAAUCUUGAGUUUAUUUUUUUCUCCUGUCUCCUUUCUUACCUCUUUCCUUAAAUAACUGGACUACAUAGUCAGGAACUCUGAGGAAUGGGUAGCAAAGCCCCCACUGCCAUUCUCCUCGAGUUGAGUCCUUAGGCAUUGAUAGUAACCUGUGCUUUCCUGAAAUAGUGUAUUGGCCACUGGCUUGUACUAUUGCCAUAAUAGCUUUGCGGAAAUUUCACCCCAUUCAGCGAUCAUAAUAAGAAAUAAAGAAUCCUUGAAAUUCAUGAUAUUAAAAAAAACACUUUAAAAAUAACCUACUUAAUAGAUCUUAAGAUAACUAAAUAAACACUGUGUUUUUGCUAAAGGAGAUGUCUGUUUUUACUGGGUUCAAAUACAGGGUAGCAUUACUAAGUGUCUACCAAAUGUUUUUAUAUUAUCCCCCCCCCCCCUUUAUGGACACAAAAAAAUACUUGAAUUUUAACCUGGGAUUCAUUUGUUUUGCCUGUUACCACUUUUGCAUCCUUAAAUUCACAGUGGACCAUGUUUGAAAAUGACUACUUAGGACAUAUAUUCUUUAGGAGUACUGUACUUUUGUCUCUAAAUGAAUUUCAGGUAUGGAAUAUCUAAAGGUAAAAGACUUUUCUCCCUUAAACAAAAAGUAGGGUCUUGAAUUUGUUUUUUCAUUUCUUAUGUUGUAGCCAUGGAAGAUGAAUUCUUGAGAGUGAGGCGUCCCAGGCUCUGUUUUCUAUCUGCUCUCAGGACUUCAUCAAGACAACUGGACACAUAUUCUUCCACAUUUUCCAUCAUUUCCCUUGUCUGUUGUGCUUUUAAAAUAUAACAGCUCCAUAUAUCAUUAUUUUGUAUUUAUAGUGAAGUAAAGGAACCAAUGUGUUGGAAGUGUAUUUUUGUUAUUCUAGUUUGAGUUGGUUGUUUAUUUUGUUGUUCUAUUUCAUCUCUGGUGGUUGUUAAAAUAUUUUUUUUAAAUUACUGAAACAGCUUCUUGAAUAUCCCAGGCUGGCCUUGAAAUUCCCAUGUGGCCUAGGAUGAUCCUGAACUUCUGAUCCUCCUGCCUCAAACCUUCCUAAUGCUGGGAUUACAGGUGUAUGUCACCAUGCCUAGUUUAUGUGGUGCUGGGCAUCAAAUUUGAUGCUAAGUGCAUGGUAGUUAAGCACUCUACCAACUGAGCCAUGCCCAUCCUUUCUUUGUUGACUUUUGAGGUAUACUGAGUUCUUUGGAGAUAUCUUCAGAAGAAUCCUUUCCAAGAAGAUCCAUCCUGCAGAGCAACUGACCCUGGGGGUGCCCAUUCCCAGUUGGAAAACUGUAACACAAUCCGUGUACCCGGGCUCAGGAAACAUCACUGAAGAGGGGAUAGAAAGAUUAUAAGAGCCAGAGAACCAGCACAUUUUAUGAGAUAGUAGAGUUAUACCCAUAAAACCUUAACUACAUGCUUUCCUAAACACUUGUACAAAGACGUUAGUUGAUACUCAAUGUGGAUAUGAAAAAUCUCACAAGGCCCCACCCCAAGAAGAAACUGCAUCGGCAAUUAAUGGCUGCUAAAAGAGGGAGAAUCAGGCUUCUUUUGUUUUAGUUGGGGUUUCUAUUGCUGUGAUGAAACACCUUGACCAAAAAUGAACUCAGGGAGGAAAGGUUUUAUUUGGUUUAUCCUUCUGUGUUGUGGUCCAUUAUUGAAGGAAGCCAGCACAGGAAGUCAAACAGGGCUGGAGGUGAUGGCAGAGACCACGCAGAGGUGCUGUUUAUUGGCCUACUCCCAUGGCCUGCUCAGCCUGCUUUCUUAUUGAAUCUACGACCAGAAUGGGCUGGGCCUUCCAUGUCAAUCACUAGUUAAGAAAAUGCCUUAUAUCUGGAUCUAUGGAGGCAUCUUCUCAAUUGAGUUUUCCUCCUUUUAGGUGACUUUAGCUUGUGUUAAGUUAAUAUAAUGUAUCCAGCUCAUCCUGAUAGGUUUUCCAAUCUCAAGUACUCAAUCUUAAACACAUACGUAUUGAGCAAUGCUAAAUGGACCUAGCAUGAUGUAUUAUAUAUGUGAAAACACACACACACACACACACACACACACACACACACACACACACACACACACAGAUAAUUAAGAAGUCAUGAAGUUCAAAGGAAGUGGGUGGAAGAUCUGGUAUGAGAGAUUAUGGGAUGAACAUGAUAUAAAUACUAUACUCAUGUGUGAAAUUC